AGUCGAGCGAACGGACGAGAAGCUUGCUUCUCUGAUGUUAGCGGCGGACGGGUGAGUAACACGUGGAUAACCUACCUAUAAGACUGGGAUAACUUCGGGAAACCGGAGCUAAUACCGGAUAAUAUUUUGAACCGCAUGGUUCAAAAGUGAAAGACGGUCUUGCUGUCACUUAUAGAUGGAUCCGCGCUGCAUUAGCUAGUUGGUAAGGUAACGGCUUACCAAGGCAACGAUGCAUAGCCGACCUGAGAGGGUGAUCGGCCACACUGGAACUGAGACACGGUCCAGACUCCUACGGGAGGCAGCAGUAGGGAAUCUUCCGCAAUGGGCGAAAGCCUGACGGAGCAACGCCGCGUGAGUGAUGAAGGUCUUCGGAUCGUAAAACUCUGUUAUUAGGGAAGAACAUAUGUGUAAGUAACUGUGCACAUCUUGACGGUACCUAAUCAGAAAGCCACGGCUAACUACGUGCCAGCAGCCGCGGUAAUACGUAGGUGGCAAGCGUUAUCCGGAAUUAUUGGGCGUAAAGCGCGCGUAGGCGGUUUUUUAAGUCUGAUGUGAAAGCCCACGGCUCAACCGUGGAGGGUCAUUUGAAACUGGAAAACUUGAGUGCAGAAGAGGAAAGUGGAAUUCCAUGUGUAGCGGUGAAAUGCGCAGAGAUAUGGAGGAACACCAGUGGCGAAGGCGACUUUCUGGUC
rnacentral:rRNA from 1 species